UACGGAGGGUGCAAGCGUUGUCCGGAAUCACUGGGCGUAAAGGGCGCGUAGGCGGCUCAUGAAGGCUGUGGUGAAAGUCCGGGGCUCAACCUCGGAUCGGCCGUGGCGACUCGUGGGCUGGAGCACUGUAGAGGCGGGUGGAAUUCCGGGUGUAGCGGUGGAAUGCGUAGAGAUCCGGAGGAACACCGGUGGCGAAGGCGGGUCUCUGGGCCGAUACUGACGCUGAGGAGCGAAAGCGUGGGGAGCAAACAG
rnacentral:rRNA from 1 species